GAUUGCACUAAUCCUCUCGCAAUCGCGGCUG
ncrna:unclassified sequences S4-Bacteroidia ribosomal protein leader